rnacentral:rRNA from 1 species
GUAGCUGGUCUGAGAGGAUGACCAGCCACACUGGAACUGAGACACGGUCCAGACUCCUACGGGAGGCAGCAGUGGGGAAUAUUGGACAAUGGGGGCAACCCUGAUCCAGCAAUGCCGCGUGUGUGAAGAAGGCCUGAGGGUUGUAAAGCACUUUCAGUGGGGAGGAGGGUUGAUAGGUUAAGAGCUGAUUAAYUGGACGUUACCCACAGAAGAAGCACCGGCUAACUCCGUGCCAGCAGCCGCGGUAAUACGGAGGGUGCGAGCGUUAAUCGGAAUUACUGGGCGUAAAGGGUGCGUAGGUGGUUUAUUAAGUUAUCUGUGAAAUCCCUGGGCUUAACCUGGGCAGGUCAGAUAAUACUGGUUGACUCGAGUAUGG